AGUUGUCACUUUGUCUGGUCCUCACUUUCCCUCUCUGUCUCCUCAACAGGAACAUUUGUAGUGAAUGUGACACAGACCUCCUAUCAGGCAGAGGAGAACCAUAACAUCACACUGGAAUGGACGUUCACAACCAACACUCAGAGUUCCCUUAACUUCCUUUUUAUCUACUGUAGACUGAUUACUGAUUACAAGAUCUCAGUCCUGUAUGAUCUAGAUAAGGGUGUCGAGGUCCCAGAGUCUCAGGAUGAACAGUUUAAAGGACGAGUCCAGUGUGACAAAGACGUCCUCAGAGAAGGACGAAUCCGACUUCAUGUGUCCAGACUCAGGACCGAAGACUCGGGCCGGUACCUGUGUAACGUGAGAACAAAUUAUGGUGCGAGCUCUGAAAGAUGUCAACUCAGAGUCACUGCAGCUGCUGAUGAGCCCAAACCUCAGAGACCAACAGAGAGUCCACAACCAGAGAGUCCACAACCAGAGAGACCACAACCAGAGAGUCCACAACCAGAGAGUCCACAACCAGAGAGUCCGGGAAUGAUAAUCCUCUAUGUUGUACUGGGACUGGCAGCAGCAGCAGUUCUACUGGCUGUCUGUUGUUGUUACUUUAGACGAAACGAGAAACAACCCAAUAGGGAUAAUGUUGAGAAAGGAAACGUCUAUGCAGCUGUAUAAAUGUUGAGUUUUAAGUGUCAGAAAACUAUUUGUAAUAUGAAAUGUAUAUUUUUCUGUUAAAUGGUGUUCAUGUUACUACAGGUUUAAGUUUAAAUGAAGUUAUGUAAUAAUGUAAUGUCAUAAAUGAAGUAAUGUUAAUGAUGCUUCCACUGUGAUCCCAGAUGUUCCAUGUUUGAUGUCAGACAGUUAACAUCAGAAGUAGAGCAAAGACAUCUAAACAGCCAUCGUCUGAUUGAUCCUCCACUGUAAGCUCUCUAAAAUGUCCCAGUUGUUUGAGUUGUCAGUGUAUGAAGAGUUUCUCAGAGGAAUCAUUCACAUUGAGCUGUAAGUUGGUUCACUCAUUGAUCGCUCUGUUCUCCCUCCAGCUGUUAUCAAUCAUCAGUCUUAAACAACGAGUCUGAAUCAACAAGACAACAGAAUUAGAAGAGAAUUGUUCAUUAUUAUAAUACAAUGCACUGACUUUAUACUGUUUAUAAUGUGUACAUAUUGUAAAUAAAUCUCUAUAUGAAAGAAGUAUUUUAAUAGUCUUUAAUAAAACAUAUUGUAUUGUAUAUAUUUCCUAUUGAAUGCAGUGAUUGUACAUGUAUAUGUGAAUGUGUUUGCCUUCCUCCAGGCAGUCCAUUGAAACUUGAGUCAGAGCAUCCAUCACAGUGAACAUCAUGUCUCAUCAUGUGUUCUACUGUAGCUGUCAGAGCUGUGCUGCUGCAGUUCAAAGUGCACAUUGAACUUCAAACUUUGAUUCAUCCACUGAUUUAAUCCGACAAUGAUGUUGCUGUUGUUAAAAUAGGUUUGCAAUAAUUAAUAAUAAUAAUAAAUAACACUGUAUGGUCUUCCUGCAGAUUUAUAGAGUAUCUGUGAUAUUUCAACAGUUUCUCUUUGUCUGUAGAGAUGUAGAUUAUCAACAAAGUACAUGUGACAGUUCAUGAACAUACCCUAACCAUAAUUUGUUUUUGUACCUAAACCUAACCAAAACUUAACCACAGUGAUGUAAUAUCAGACAAUAUCAACUAAUAAGAUGUUGAAAUAUUACAAAUAAUCUAUAAACUAUGUGUAGCAGGACGAUCCAAAUAAAGAGUUAUCCAAUAAGUAAUAAGCCAAUUAGCGUGUCUUAAAACAUAUUUUAUAAAAUAAUUUUUCUUUAGACGUCCUCGGCUCUGUGUGUAUACAUAUCUCACACUUGACUUGAAUUCUGGAUCCAGUAUGUCUGUAUCUCUUAUGAAGAUCUUUCUCAGUUCUCAUCUUACUAAAAUAAAGUUCAGCAAGUAACCAGGCAGCA
rnacentral:lncRNA from 1 species